AUUGAACGCUGGCGGCAGGCCUAACACAUGCAAGUCGAGCGAGAGGCGGGCGGGUGAGUAAUGUAUGGGGAUAUUCCCGAAAGAGGGGGGUAACAACUGGAAAAGGGGGCGAAUACCGCAUACUAUCGGGUGAAACCAGAUGGGAUUAGCUCGUAGGGGGGGUAAAGGCUCACCAAGGCGACGAUCUCUAGCUGGUGUGAGAGGAUGAGCAGCCACACUGGGACUGAGACACGGCCCAGACUCCUACGGGAGGCAGCAGUGGGGAAUAUUGCACAAUGUGCGCAAGCCUGAUGCAGCCAUGCCGCGUGUAUGAAGAAGUCCUUAGGGUUGUAAAGUACUUUCAGCGGGGAGGCGUUACCCGCAGAAGAAGCACCGGCUAACUCCGUGCCAGCAGCCGCGGUAAUUC
rnacentral:rRNA from 1 species